rfam:Penicillium brasilianum genome assembly, contig: SCAF1
GUCAGUUUGGCCGAGUGGUCUAAGGCGCUUGACUUGAACCUCCCGACUUCCAAGUCAGGGCUAGGGGUGACCCUAUCAUGUUUAGGCAUCAAGUCCCUUCGGGGGCACAGGUUCGAACCCUGUAGCUGACG